rnacentral:lncRNA from 1 species
GCACAUCUUCACAAUGAAAUCUUCACAAGCUCAGAACCAUCAACUUGCUACACUGUGUUCCUCCAGUGCCCAGUUCACAGGAAGCACUCAAGAGUAGGAUCAAUUGUUAUCAACCUCUAGCAGAUUAUUGAAUAGACGGUCGUUACAUGAAACUGACACUCAGUUCUUCAUGGUCCACGAUAGUUCUUAUAUCCAGAAAACGUACUUACGUUAUCAACUCUGACUCCAUAAGACAACUUUGCAAAGUCUUGGCUCAUAACUAUUCUUCCUCCAGACAGGCACGCCAUACAACCGACUACACUUGGGCUCACUGAAUGAAUCACAUUCUUCUGCUGUGCCUCCCAGAGAUUUCAUCAAAGCACCCGCAGUGGCCUUCUGGAGGCUCCUCAAACUCUCCACUCAAUGUUUCCUGAAAGUGUCGUGUUUCUCACCUCUAGAUUGUUAUUCUCAUCAGUUACAUUAGUGAAAUGGUGAAAAAUCAGACAAUGGUCACAGAGUUCCUCCUACUGGGAUUUCUCCUGGGCCCAAGGAUUCAGAUGCUCCUCUUUGGGCUCUUCUCCCUGUUCUAUGUCUUCACCCUGCUGGGGAAUGGGACCAUCCUGGGGCUCAUCUCACUGGACUCCAGACUCCACACCCCCAUGUACUUCUUCCUCUCACACCUGGCCGUCGUCAACAUCGCCUAUGCCUGCAACACAGUGCCCCAGAUGCUGGUGAACCUCCUGCAUCCAGCCAAGCCCAUCUCCUUUGCUGGCUGCAUGACAUAGACCUUUCUCUUUUUGAGUUUUGCACAUACUGAAUGCCUCCUGUUGGUGCUGAUGUCCUACGAUCGGUACGUGGCCAUCUGCCACCCUCUCCGAUAUUUCAUCAUCAUGACCUGGAAAGUCUGCAUCACUCUGGCCAUCACUUCCUGGACAUGUGGCUCCCUCCUGGCUAUGGUCCAUGUGAGCCUCAUCCUAAGACUGCCCUUUUGUGGGCCUCGUGAAAUCAACCACUUCUUCUGUGAAAUCCUGUCUGUCCUCAGGCUGGCCUGUGCUGAUACCUGGCUCAACCAGGUGGUCAUCUUUGCAGCCUGCAUGUUCAUCCUGGUGGGACCACUCUGCCUGGUGCUGGUCUCCUACUCACACAUCCUGGCGGCCAUCCUGAGGAUCCAGUCUGGGGAGGGCCGCAGAAAGGCCUUCUCCACCUGCUCCUCCCACCUCUGCGUAGUGGGACUCUUCUUUGGCAGCGCCAUCGUCAUGUACAUGGCCCCUAAGUCCCGCCAUCCUGAGGAGCAGCAGAAGGUCCUUUUUCUAUUUUACAGUUCUUUCAACCCGAUGCUAAACCCCCUGAUUUACAACCUGAGGAAUGUAGAGGUCAAGGGUGCCCUGAGGAGAGCACUGUGCAAGGAAAGUCAUUCCUAAGAGGUGUGACAUUUGAACUGCCAGCCUCAGUUGUCACGUGGACUCUUGAUGCCCAAUUAUUGCCUCAAUCCAGAAAAGUUUACUUCUCUUUAUCUGUGCUUUACUGACAGAAGGGCAAGUCUUCUCUCGUUUUUUGCAGAUAAAAUUUUAGAUGUGUUGCAUUCAUUGGGUUUCUAUGAGAUGUGGUUUUAUCAGACAAUUUUUUCUUUUAUUUCACAAUUACUUUAAUAUCUGUAAAAUAAAGAAUUAUUUUAAUUCAUUUUCCCAGUCCCAAAAGUUAAAUACAGGCCACUUACUUCUUUAACCAAAUGAUAUAGUUUGGCUCUGUGUCCCCACCCAAAUCUCAUGUCAAAUUGUAAUCCCCGCAUGUCAGGGGAGGGACCUGGUGGGAGGUGAUUGGAUCAUGGGGAGGGAUUUCCCCCUUGCUGUUCUGUUGAUAGUGAACGAGUUCUCACGAAAUCUGAUGGUUUAAAAGUGCAGCACUUCUCCCUUUGCUCUCUCUCUCCUGCUGUGCCAUGGUAAGACGUGCCUUGCUUCCCCUGUGGCUUCCGCCAUGAUUGUACCUUUCCUGAGGCCUCUCCAGCCAUGUGGAACUGUGAGCCAAUUAAACUUCUUUUCUUUAGAAAUUA